GGAGUUAGCCGGUGCUUCUUCUGCGAGUAACGUCACAGAUGUAAGGUAUUAACUUACACCCUUUCCUCCUCGCUGAAAGUGCUUUACAACCCGAAGGCCUUCUUCACACACGCGGCAUGGCUGCAUCAGGGUUUCCCCCAUUGUGCAAUAUUCCCCACUGCUGCCUCCCGUAGGAGUCUGGGCCGUGUCUCAGUCCCAGUGUGGCUGAUCAUCCUCUCAGACCAGCUAGGGAUCGUCGCCUAGGUGAGCCUUUACCUCACCUACUAGCUAAUCCCACCUGGGCUUAUCCAUCAGCGCAAGGCCCGAAGGUCCCCUGCUUUCCCCCGUAGGGCGUAUGCGGUAUUAGCAGUCGUUUCCAACUGUUAUCCCCCACAAAUGGGCAAAUUCCCAGGCAUUACUCACCCGUCCGCCGCUCGUCAUCUUCAAAAGCAAGUCUUUUAGAAUGUUACCGCUCGACUUGCAUGUUGUUAGGCCUGCCGCCAGCGUUACAAUCUGAGCCAGGAUACAAACUCUGA
rnacentral:rRNA from 1 species